CCCCAAAUACCCCAGCAAGCAGGUAGGCCAGCCCUUUCGGCUUAGCACGCCGCAGCCCCCACCCCACCCCUACCAUGGGGCCAUCUGGACCGAGGUGUGGGAGUGAUAGAACAGGUGUGCCUUGCCUGCUAUGAUCAACUCGAUCAUGUGGGAGCAUCCUGAGCUAACUGUGGGAGGUGGGAACACUGAUCUCGGGGUACUGAGGCCUCAACUAAGGACCCUUCUGCCUUGCCCGGAUAUGGAAGGUUAGGCUGAGUGGAAACUGAUAGGGGGCUUCGAUGUGUCUUCCCUGCCCCUCCCCACAAGGGGGAAGUGUAUGACUUGUCAGAUCCCAGUAUGCCGAACCAGCUACUGGAUCUUUCAGGUGGAGCUGAUGGGCAGGUUUAUAGGUUUGGAGACAGAAGGGCAGAGGCAGAUAUGGGAGAAGACGACUCCAAACCUGGGUCUCUAUUAGAGAUCAGCUGUAUAGGUGCUUCUUUGGAGGGGACACGGAAGACCUAGAAUCUGGGUGGGGACUCUGCUGGGGAGGGGGGAACCUCCCCACUUGUGCCUUCUAUAUGUACUGUGUAUUAACUUUUUCCUCAUCCCCAGGCCUCGGGGGCUGGCCCCACAUCCCCUACCCCAGCCCUUUUCAUGUGGCCCCACAAUAAAGUUCUCUAUUUUUGGA
rnacentral:lncRNA from 1 species